AUGGAGGUGCGGCGCUCGAGGCGCUUGCGCUUGGCCUGGAGGCGCUUGAGGCUCUGCAUCUCGCGCCGGCGCCACCGCUCCUCCUCGGUCUCGGUGGGGAGCGAGCUGGUGCGCAUCAGCGGCGCCGGCGGGGGCGUCGCGGCGGCGAUGUCGUCGCUGGUGCCCGGGAGCGAGCACAUGGCGGCGAGGGAGGAGGAGCGCACCAGCCGCGGCUUCUUGGCGUCCCGGCCGGAGUUGGCGCCGAAGCAGCCGCCCAGGGACAGGCCCAGGCUAAGCUCGACCACCUCGUCCGGCUCGCCGGCGCCGCCCCCCGCCUUGUCCGACGACGCGCCCUUCUCCCCGCCGAACCUGCCCAAGAAGUCCCUCGACGCCAUGCCCGGCACAGAGAACGAGAGAGAGAGCAAGCAAUUCCCCGCCGCGAAGCGGACGCCAAUCCUUCCCUUCCCCAAGCUCCAAGAAGGCCAAAUUCUCAGGAACACCUCGCCAUUGCCGCGAAUCCGUCCCGCGCCGGGCAAUUCUCGGUCUCCAAACCCAGAGGGAAGAACAUCACAGCGCCUACGGACGAACAAUCGACGAGCGCCGGGGAAGCAGAGCCAGCACAAUCGGCGGCAAUCAGAUCCCUCCGACGCGCGUGGGAUCCUCGAGCGGGAGAGGGGAGAGGGGGGGAGGUGGAUGGGAAUGGAGAGGAGAGGAGAGGAGAAGAGAAGGAGGCCUGCGCUGCGUGCGUGUCGCUCUAAUCUCCUUCGUUGUUAG
rnacentral:rRNA from 1 species